GGAGAGAUGGCCGAGUGGUUUAAGGCACACGCCUGGAACGCGUGCGUAGGUUAAUAGCCUACCGAGGGUUCGAAUCCCUCUUUCUCCGCCA
rnacentral:tRNA from 1 species